CCACCGAGGGCACCGCCAACGGCGGCUUCGGUGUUGCUGCCGGCAAAGGCGGCGGCGCUGAGCAGGCUGGUGGACAACAGGAAAAUCGAGGCGUACUUCAUGGUGUGAUCCCGUAUGAGGAAUUGCGGCGUGAUCCUCACGUGCCGCUUCGCUUCCGGCAAGGGCUUCCCGAUGAAAUGCGUGACCCAGUUCCUGUUUGCUAACUCUUUGAUUUCUGGCUGGAACUUGGUCCUGAAAAGCAGGUCUCAGCUCGCUUGUGCGGGUCAGGCGCAGCCGUCACCUGCAGCCGGGCUGU
rnacentral:ncRNA from 1 species